rnacentral:tRNA from 1 species
GCAAUUGUGGCUCAGCGGUAGAGUGCUCACCUAGCAAGUGUGAGGCCCUGAGUUUGAUCCUCAGCGCC